rnacentral:lncRNA from 1 species
GCCGGCCUCUCUGCUUGCCCUCCCCGCCCCAGAGGGGGGGUGGGAGGCCUUGAGAUUGUCCCCGGUACCCCAAGGACGCCGAGGUUACGGGAAGUUUGGGGACUCGGACUUGGGAUGGAGUGAAUAUCAGACAGCUACAAGGAAGGAUUUAGAAGCAGGCCACUUGGCCACUUGGGAUUUACUAGCCAGCAGACUCCCUGGCUAGUUGAGUGUGUGAGUGUUUGCCUGUAACUGUACCUGUACACAUGCCUACUUGGUGGCCUAGGAGGCCAGAAGAAGGUGGUCAGAUCUCCUGGAACUGGAGUUAUAGGCGGUUGUGGGCCACCAUCUGGGUCCUGGGAUACUGAACCUGUGUCCUCUGCAAGAGCAGCAAGUGUUCUUAACGACUGAGCCAUUUCUUCGGCCCUCUUUCUUCAAUUCUCCAUUGUCCUGCUAGAAGGCAGAAUGACUUCGUCGACAACCUCAUGCAGGAGUGGAACCAAUCUCCUUCCCCGUGGGUGGCUGGGCAUGUAGCUUCCUCUUUCUGUCUUGAGUGUUGCCAAGGAAAAGGGGCUGCAGAUCUCCCCUGGAUUGCAGAGUGGGAGACAAAGCAAGGGCCCCAGAAGAGCUCUCUGGAUGCUCCUGGCUACUGAAUCAACCGCAGAGCGCCCUCUGGGGCUGGGGUCUGACACUGUUACCCCUCCUGGCCUUAUGGACGCAGAUCCAGCUCAGCCUCACAAUGAAUUCAAUGGUUCCUGAAAGCUUGUGCUCGGCCUGCCCACCUUCAUCCACAGGGCAACAUGGGAGCCAGACUUCUCUCUGUGGUAUAAGGCCCCAGUAUCCUGAGUUCUUCCAGGAGAAGGAAGAUGGCGAAGACAGUGAGGGAAGAGAGCAGACGUCUGACUCCGGGGUGCUUAUCUGUGUGGAAGAGACCGGUUCUUCCUGACUGGCUUCAUGUCCCUCAAGGUCAGGCUAGUGCUGGUAUGGGGACCUGAGUGACUGAGGGCAAAACAGGUCUCUGGGCUUCUGUUUGUUUGUUUUGUUUUUAAAUUAACUAAUUUCUAUUUCAUGUG